rnacentral:rRNA from 1 species
UACGGAGGGUGCGAGCGUUGUCCGGAAUCAUUGGGCGUAAAGGGCGCGUAGGUGGCGGCUUAAGCGUGCGGUGAAAGCUCGGGGCUCAACCCCGAGUCGGCCGUGCGAACUGAGUCGCUUGAGCACUGUAGAGGCAGGCGGAAUUCCGGGUGUAGCGGUGGAAUGCGUAGAGAUCCGGAAGAACACCGGUGGCGAAGGCGGCCUGACUGGGCAGUAGCUGACACUGAGGCGCGACAGCGUGGGGAGCAAACAGG